UGAUGAAUCAAAUAAAUUACAAAUGAAUGAUAAUGAGUAUAUGAAAAUUAAAAAUACAAAAGAUGAUAAUAAUAAUGAAAAGCUAAUUGAUAAUAUUAUUAAAAAUUAUAGAAUUGAUAAUUUAAAUGAUUUAUCAGAAAAAAAAAUAGAAAAUAAAGAUACAAGACUUGAAUUAACAGAUAGUCUGAAAGCUGCACUUAAAGCACCAUUGCCAACAGGUCCAGCACCAAAAAAACCACCACGUACAUUUGCUCAUAGUCCAUUAACACGAAAAUAUCAAAGCAAUAAUUAUGAUGAUGAUAAUAAUCAACGUAGUUCUUGGCUUCAUGAAGAAUUUAAUAAAAAAAUAAGUAUUGAUGUACCUGAUUUUUCAACGAGACCUAAUUAUCAUAAAAAUAUCAAAGAAAAUAAUGGUUAUUAUAUUGAUGCUAGCACUUCAACAGAUGAUAAACAUGAUAAAAAAUUAAUAACACCAAAUAUUAAUGAUUUAAAGCCUAAUAUAUCAAGUUUAAAUUCAAUAAUUAAUAAAUUUCCAAAUGACAAUAAUGAAAAAACAUCAACAAGUAACAAACUUCGUAGUACAAAAGAUUCAAGAAAAAUGCUUGAAAAAUUAGAGACAGUACUUUUUCAACAUCAACAAGCAAUUGGUUCAAAAGUUAUUAUACCAAGUAAUAAUAAAAUUAUUGAAGUUGAAACAAGAAAAAAAUCACAAUGUAGAUCAGAAAAUGAUUUAGAAAAACGUGUUGGUAAAAUUUUUUUUAAUCAUUUAUCAAAUACUCUUGAGGAACAAAAUAAACAUGUUUCAUUAAAUAAAAAUCAUGAUUUAAAAAUACGUAAACAAUCAAUUUUUAAUUGUCCAUAUUUAAAUUGUGCAAGUGAAACAGUAUAUGAACAGCCAAGUUUUAAAAAUUAUUUAACUGAUAGUAGAUCAAUAUCUGAAACAUCAUUGAGUGAUUCAAUAUCAAAUAUUUUAUCAAGUAAUAAUGAUUUGUAUGAUGAAUUAUUAAGUCCAGCAUCAAAAAGACUAUCAACAGAGCUGACAACAUUUUCAGAUGUAAAAAGACGACAAAGUGAUACAAAAAUAAAUGAUGAACGUGUUUAUGCUGAGCCAUUUACAUUUGACAAAAAUUGUGGUACUGAUAUUACAAGUUAUAGCGAGUUAUCACCAGAAGAACAUAAUUAUUUGUCGAGAACUUGGCGAGGUGGAAAUAAACAUGAAGAACAAUUUGAUGAAAUUAAUUCACUUGGACAAAAAAAUAAAGAGCUACAUUAUAUGUGUACUCCAAUUAGUUCAACAGUUCACAAAUACAAUAAUAAUCCUCCAGAGAAUAUUGACAAAACAUCACGUGAUAAAAUAAGUUUUCAAAGUUACAUUGAAAAAACAAAUUCAUCAAAUCAACCGUUACUUAACGGUCUUGAUAAAAUAAAAGCUGAAGAUAUUCUAAACCAGGCAUUUGGACAAUUCGUCAUGGCUGGUAGUGAAACUUCUGUAUCAACAGAUUCAAAUGCUUCAUCUGAUACAGAUAGUCUUGCUUCAACAAAAUCAAUUGGUGAUGAAUCAACAAGUUUAAUUGAUAAACGAAGAUUAUUUAAAAGUCGUGAAAUGAAUAAAAAAUUAAGUAAAGAAGAAAUACAUCGUAGUUUAACUGAAAAACGUAAAAAUUAUGUGAGAAAUGUGUCAAUGAAAUAUUCAGAAACUUAUGUGCCAAGUAUACGUGAAAGAAAAGAUCAAUUAUUUGAUGUAUGUUUACUUGUUGCACUUAAUUUAAGUGAUAAAAAACCAUAUAUCAAAGAUAAAUAUCCAAUAAAUGCAACAGCACCAUCACGUAUUGAAUUAUUUUGUUUUCCUGAUGCUCAAAAAUGGCCAUCAUCAGAUUCAACAAAUUCAAGUCAAUUUUAUUCAUUAUCAUUAAUGGAUGAAAAAGGUAAUCGUAGACAUGGCUAUUGUUAUCGUGUUAGACCAGAAGGUGGACCAAUAUUUCCACUUGCUUAUUGUCUUGUUACAAAACAUCGUGCAUCUGGUUUUUAUCAUAAAAUAUUGCUUGAGCUUGAAUCAAGACAUGGAUUGCCCAACAAAGAACGACGAUAUUUUAUGGAAAAAUUAUACAACAGUACAAUACCAAAGCCUGGUGAUAAUUUAAAAAUUAUUGGAGAUAAAUUAUCAAGACAAACAAUAUGUAAUAAUAAUGAUCGUGAUGAGGUUGAUGAUGUUGUUGAUGAUAUUAACAACAAUCAUGAUAAUAAUGAUAAUAUAGAGUGUAUUAUAAUGCGUUCAAGUGAUCCAAGACUUGAAAGUCGUGAUAUGAGUUCAUUAUUUGAUACUGUUAGUGAUAAAAUAUUAAUAUAUCUAUUUGGAUGUUUAUUACUGGAACGAAGAGUUAUUUUAAUGUCAGAUAAUCUUAGCAAAUUAUCAAGUUGUAUUGAAGCACUACAAAGUUUAUUAUAUCCAUUUAAUUGGCCACAUACAUUUAUACCAGUUCUUCCAGAUACACCUGAAUUAUCACCUAUUAUACAAGCACCAUUACCAUUUGUCAUUGGUAUAUUAAAAAAAAAUAGCUAUCUUAAUUCAGAUGUUGAGUCAAUUGAUGAUGGUAUUGUUGUUGAUCUUGAUACAAAUAAAAUUAUUUGUAUGGUUGGUGAUGAAUCAUCAAUAUUACCAUCAAAACUUCAAAAAGGUAUUAAAACAGCUUUACAUUGGGUUAAAACAAAAACCAAAUAUGGUGAUGGUUUUAGAAAUUUUUUAGUAUCAGAAGCAUUUUUACGAAUUUUUGUUGAAACUUGUGCUCAUCUUGAGGGACAUUUAGUUGCACAACAAGAUGGAAAAGUUAUAUUUCAAAAAGAAUCAUUUAUUAAAGCUUCAAAUUCAAAAGGAAUACAAUAUUUUCUUGAAUGGUUUGUUGAAACAACAAUGUUUCAUGAAUUUGUUAAUGAUUUUAUUGGCUGGAUUGAAGGUUCAACUGUUAGAGAAAAUAAUGAUAUUAAAUUAUUUGUACAAAGAAUAGCUGAAUAUCAAAAAAAAAAUGAUACAAAUUUACAAAAAAAGUAUUCAAAGAAAAAGAAAAAUUUUGGAGAUCGAUUAAAGGACUUGACGAAUUUUUACACUCAAAUGGGUUGAUAAAUAUGUUUUUAUCAAAACAAGGGGCCUUGAUUAAAACACACCUGAUUAGUUAUAUUAAAACGAAAAAAAAAUAUAGCAAUAAAUGCAUCGCUUAAAGAUUCAUAUGAUAAAAUUUAUAUUUAUUAUUAAUUUAAUAUACAAGGGUGAAUCUCAUUUGUAAGAAAUAGGACUGGUUAAUUAUAGUUGAAAGUAUGUGCCUUUCAGAU
rnacentral:misc_RNA from 1 species